rnacentral:lncRNA from 1 species
CUCCUGCAUGCCUCUUAGGGUGAAGAUGUCCUCUGAUCCCUGAGAUGUUGCCUCUUCUUGCAUCUAAACCAUUUAAGCUAUUGUUUAAACACAGAUCCUGGGAUCUCACCCCAAAUUCACUGCAUAAGGAUGGAUCUGGAAAUCUGUAUUUUAACACCAAGAGAAUAGCCUAUGAGAAGGAAUAUAAUGCAAUGAUUAAGAACACGAGCUUUGGUGAUGACCUUCCCCUUCACUUACUAUUAACGUGAUCAUGGGGGAAAUUUACUUAACUUUACUUGGCACCAUCUAUCAAAUGGUAACAAUAACCUUAAUACCUACCUCAUAGAAAGGAUUAAAUGAGUAAAUCCAUUUAAAGUUCCUGGAACAGUGGUAGACACACAAUCAGGUUUCAUACAUGCUAAUUAUUACUAUUAUCCUGUAACAAGCACCCUUGAUGAUUUUUUAUAAUCAAGUUUGUGAUUCAAACUUGAUCAAGUUUGAAUCCAGUAUGAUCAAGUAAAUUCUUAAUCUGCUUUUUGCUCAGACCUAUGUCCUUGCUCAGACCUAAGUCCUCCUAGCUUUAGAGCUCUGUGUUGUCUUCCCCAAGUCAUGUAAGUCUUUCCAAUCUUUCUCCGGGGUACCAGGAACAGGUGUCUUACCUUGUUACCAUUUGUCCUUCAGUCAGAAUGGGCUGAUCGCUGAGAAUAGGGAUGAUGCUGUUGGCUUGAGGAACUCCCACUCUUCAAAUGGGGAAAAAGCAGUUUUCUGUAAUUGGGGCCCAGCUAUAGAAUCAGAAGUUCCUAAUUGUUUAAUGUAAUUCAGUGUUGAUAAUCAUUCAAACUUAGCCAAAGCUGCAAGGCUACUUUGGACGGUCUCUUAGAAGAGAGUUCCUUCUCUUAGGCACCUGCCCUCAGGGUUACCAAUUAUGUCAGUUUUCCUGGGACUGCCCUGAUUUUUUUACUGAAAGGCCCCGGUCGUAGGAAAGCCCUCAAUCCUGGGUAAACCAGGAUGGUUGGUCCCACUGUGCCUUAUAGUUACUGGGUUGGUUCUCCAGUUGACUGGGCAGGGCAUAACUGGGGUCUGAGCUCAGCCUUACUAACUUUCAGAGGUAGGAAGCUCAGACCAAGAGAGCCCCCUGACCCUCUUGGUUUAGGACACUCUGGUCUGAAAAAUAUACUAACACUUCCUGUUUACUAGGCUGACAUGGAGCAGAAUUAUACUGAUUGCCUCAUAGUAGGGACCUGAGGAAUUCUGCAUUAUGAUGCUUCAUGUAUGCACUCAGAACUGGUAUCCUCCAGUCUGCCAUGUUUUCUGAUGUGCAUAAUACCAAGAGCUAUAAAUAUCCAUUCUUCCCUGGGUCUGGAGAUUUGUAUGCUGAUUACAUUUCAGGUGGAAAAUGCAGAAGCACUUGCUUUCCUAUUUUCCCAGAAGAAGAGGUGUUGGAGGGAGAAAAUAAAGGAUCUAGGUUUUAUAGAGCUGUAGAAAUUACACAUGUUGCCAAGGUAAUUAAUCAACAUUCAAAGAUAACAUAAAAUCUCUUCCUGUGCCUGGACAUAUAUGCCUCAAACCCCAGUAGGUGUGAGUAAUAACAUCAAAAUGAAGGAAAUUACCUUAAAGAAAUUGCCUGAAUGGGACUGUUAUAAGAAGAGGUUAGGGCUUACUUAAUUAAAACACAGUUUAAUUAUUACUAUAUAGUAAGGAAAUGGAGUGAGUACCAUGCAAUCAUAUGGGAGUAUGAGAGGUUUGGAUCUUGUUGCAUAACAAUUUCACAUAGUUGGGGGUGGGAGUGGAGAAGGCAUGAUUAAAUACAGGAGCAGGCUGAUGAAUGAAUCAUUGGAGAAGUGCAUUUUAAACUAAAUGGAAAUGAGUCUAGAAAGAAUGGAGAAAUCAUUAUAAUUAUCAUUGUAUGGCCCUGUUAGGGAGAAGAGAGCAGGUGGUCUCUGGGUCAGAAUAAUAGCCCAAAGGCUGAGCUCUGGACUCUGCCUCUUUAGUGGGACCCUUGAUGCUCCUGGGUACAGGUCUGGGUAGUGAUACACCCUUUACUACAACAGCGCUGCUUGUAAAGACCCAGAGCUUCCUCUGUCCUUGGGCUUAUACCCUACUCCAAGCCACCACUUAAGUCCUGAGGUCUCCAGGAAGCCACAGAGCCCUGAUGCAAAAUCCACGUCAGGCUCCCCAUUCCCCUGCUUGAACCCCUGGCAAAGAUGUUCUUUUCCUAGAGCUUCUAGUUUUCUCAAAGAGAACCUCUCAUUUCUUACCUAACUCAAAAUGAAACUGUACAAUAAAACAGCAUAAAAGUAUCAGCAGGGGGAGAGAUUUGUCUGGUUCAUUUAAGAGAAUUGUCCAAAAUGAAGGAGAAUGAGAAAAGGAGAAAUUUCGUUAUCAAUUACAGUAUAUAUAUAUGUGUGUGUCUCUGUGUGUGUAUAAUUUAAAUAGAAUUUUAUGUUUAAAUGUAAUUUAAAUGUUAUACAUAAUUUAAAUUAGUUUAAAAUAAUUUCAAACCUAUCAGAAAGUUCAAGAAUAAUUGAGAGAAUUUUCACCUACCCUUUACCCAAAUUCACCAGUUGUUAAAAUUUUUGCCUCUUUCCUUUCUCCACACAAGCACAUACACACACUACACACACAUUAUUAUUAUUUAGAGCAGGUUGACUGAGUAUCACUGGGUUUAAUCCUUCAAUGUGUAUUUCCUGAGAAAAAAGUUAUUUACAAAACCAGAGUACAAUUAUAAAACUUGGAAAUUUAAUAUUGACUUUAUGAAGUACAAAUUUCAAUUUUGUCAUUUGUCCCCCAAAUGAGCUUUAGACCAUUUUUUUCCCCUCCAGCGAGGGUCAAGUAUCAUGUUAAAUUGUCUUGUCUCUUUAUUCUCCUUUAAUCUGGAUUGUUUUUCAGCCCUUAUCUUUCAUAAUAUUGGCAUUUUUUUUGAAGAAAACAGGCCAGUUAUUUUAUAGAAUGUGCCUCUGUAUGAGUUUGUCUGCUGUUUCUUCAUGAUGAGAUGUAUUGGUUGUACACUGGAGGCCAAAAUAGCACAGAGCUGAUACUGUGUCCUUCUCAGGGUAUCGGAUCUAGAGGCACAGGAGACCCAUCUGCCCCUCAUUACUGAUGGUAAUUGUGAUCACCCAGUCAAGAUGUUAUACACUUUCCUCACUGUAUAAUUACUAUUUUCCCCUUGCAACUAAUAAACAUUCUGUAGGGAGACACAUAUACCAGAUAAUAUGUUCCUCAUCACACUCCCCUCAGAUUUAGCAUCUACUGAUGACUCUUUCCUGAAAUAAUCUUUAUUGUGAUCAUUGCAAACUAGUGGUUUUCAACUCCAUCACUCCCUACACAUUUUAUUGUUGGAAAGGUGUGAAGUGGUUAUGAAUCACUAUUUUUUUAAAUGAAUGGGCUACAUGGAUGAGCUGUCCCUUCAUAUGUAUGUAUUAGGUGUGUAUGUAUGUGUCUACCUAUCUACUUGCCUACCUAUCUAUCCACUCUCUAGUUAUCUAUCAUCAGUAUAGACUCAUGAUUUCCAUUUUAAACAAUAGAUUAUAAUUCAGUAGAGUUCUUAUUUAUUCAGAUGCUCAAAUUAGCCCAGAUUUAGCCAAUGAGAACCCCUUCAAAGUCGCUUUGGUAUUUAGGAAAAAGUAUCUGGCAACUAGGUGUGCUGAUUGCUUUUAGGUCCUUUUAGCAGUUAAUACUAGGAAAUAUAAGUAUUUUUAUAUUUGAAAUCAUAAUUUUGUUAUGUCUAUUUUCUGAUUUUCCCUUGUUUCUUACAAAAAAGUUAGUGUAGUAUAUAAAAUCUUAUACUUUUUUUAUUUAAUAAGAUAUCCUGGAAAUUAUUCCAUGUGAGUUUAUAAAGAUUUUCUCUGUUCUUUCUUCCAGCUGCAUAGUAUUCCUCUAUGUACAUGUUCCAUGGUACUUAACCAACUUCUUAGGCUUGGAUAUUUAGAUAAUUGCCAAAAAUUUGCAAUUACAAACAAUAAAUAACAUUAUGUUUGUGUAUUUUUUUUUAUUGUUGUGGGUGUAUCUUCAGGAUAAGUUGAAAGAAGUGAGGUUGUUGGAUUGAUUGAUAGGUAAGUACAUAAGGAGUUCUGGUAUAUAAUGCUAAAUUCUCCUCCAUUGGGUUACCAUUUUGCAUUUCUUCCAGCACUGUAAGAGUGAAAGAGAGAGAGUGUGUGAGAGAGAGCCUGUUUCCUUAAUCUUAGCCAGAAGAGUAUAUCGAUUGUUAAACUUUGAAUGUUUGCCUAUCUGAUAAAAAGUCUAGUAUUAUGUAUUUUUAUAGAGUAUAGCUUUUAUUUUAAAAUCUCUACAUCUGGUAUAAUAUUUGUUAUCUUUUUUUGUUCAUUAAGGUUUUCUGAGGUUUACCAGUUAUAUAUAUAUUUUUAAUGAUCUAGCAUAUGGUUUAUUUUUUAAUGAAUGUUUGUAUGAAUGACAUAUAUUAGAAAGAGUACAUAUCAGUGGAUGGAAUAUAGUAGAAAUAGGGCUGUUUGGAGUCAGACAGACCUGAGCUCAAAUUCUUUUCACAACUUAAGAGCUGUGAAGUCUCUGACAAGUUCCUUAUAUUCUCCAAUGCUAGGUAGCCUCAUUUGCAAAAUGAAUAAUAUUUAAGUCUGCCUUGUGUAUCCUCAGGUUCCACAUUUAUGGAUUCAACCAACCUUGGAUCAAAAGUGUUCAAAAAAGAAUUCUGGAAAUUCCAAAGAGCAAAACUUUGCUGUGUGCUGGCAACUAUUUAUAGCCUUUAUAGCAAUACAGCUUUUUUUUUUUUUUUUUUAGGCCUGUACAUGUGUCAUAUGGAGGUUCUCAGGCUAGGGAUCAGGAGUGCAGCUGCUGGCCUACACCACAGCCACAGAAAGACCAGAUCUGAGCUACGUCUGGGACUUACACCACAGCUCCUGUUCCUUAACCCAUUGAGCGAGGCCAGGGAUCAAACCCAUGCCCUCAUGGAUCCUAGUUGUGUUUGUUACUGCUGAGCCAUGAUGGGAACUCCUAUAGUAAUAUAGCUUUUAAACUGUAGUAUUAGUAAUCUAGAAAUGAUUCAAAGUAUAUGAGGAGAUGUGCAUAGGUUAUAUGCAAAUACUGAGCCAUUUUAUAUAAGGGACUUGAGCACUGGAGGAUUUUGGUAUCCAGGUCCUAGAAGCAAUCCCCCGAGGACACCAAAGGAUGAUGGUACCCAAUCUGUAGUCUUGGAGGGAUUUGAAUAAGUAUAUAAAAGAACCCAACACACUGUAGGUAUUCUUUAUAAGGAAGAAGUAUUCUUUUUGCUCUUACCUUCAUUAUUUUCUUCCUUGGGACCAUUUUUCCCUCAAAACUCUUUUUUUUUUUUUCUUUUGUCUUUUUGCCCUUUCUAGGGCUGCUCCCGUGGCAUAUGGAGGUUCCCAGGCUAGGGGUCUAAUCAGAGAUGUAGCCACUGGCCCAUGCCAGAACCACAGCAACUCGGGAUCCGAGCCUCGUCUGCAACCUACACCACAGCUCAGGGCAACACUGAAUCCUUAACCCACUGAGCAAGGUCAGGGAUCAAACCCUCAACCUCAUGGUUCCUAGUUGGGUUCGUUAACCACUGUGCCACAACGGGAACUCCUCAAAACUCUUAACUUUACAGUUCAGCAUGUGCUUUUCUUUUUUAAUUAAACAAUUGAGGUUUAUAAAUUUAUUUCUAGAUUCUGCUUGACCUCAUUUCAUGAUUUGAUAUGUAUUCAUUAUUUCUAUUAUUUUCUAAAUGAUACAUUACUGUUUUAUUGAUUUCAUUUUUAAUGGUUAUUAGAAGACUUUAAAAAAUUCUAAAUGGAUAGUGGUUUUUUGGCUAUAAUUUAAAUAAAUUUCUUUUAGUUUUAGUGCAUUGAGACUAGGAACUGUGGCCUAUUGGAUUGAAUAUAAUUCUAUUCUUUGAAUUAUUUGAGAUUUUCUUCAUUUCUGACCAUAUGAUUAAUACUUGCUAAACAUUCUACGGCACUCUCAAAAAGAGAAGAUCUAUUUUAUGUGGAAGAGAGAAGAAUCAGGGGUCCCAGCUAGAUUAAAAUUCAAGUUUGGUUAUGCCAAAGCAUGAAGUUGGAACACACCAGUCACAUGCCAUAGGUGGCAAGAAACCCUAUGGGCGGCAAUGUGAAAUCUAUUCAAACUGGGAUUUAGGCAUCUACAGGCACAUUCACUGAACUGGGGUGCUGGCAAGUCAACUAGGAUUGCUAAGUGGAAUUAGAUGGUUAAAUAAAAGUACUAUAAGGGAGUUCCCAUCCUGGCUCAGCAGUAAUGAACCCAACUAGUAUCCAUGAGGAUGCCGGUUUGAUCCCUGGCCUCCCUCAGUGGGUUAAGGAUCCAGUGUUGCUGUGAGC